CGUCACUUGUGCGAGAGGUGUCACUGCAGCUUUACCCAUGGGGAGGGUGAGCUGAGUCAUGGAUCACUUGAACCUAAGUAGUGUCUCCUUUCAGAACCUUAACAGUCAAGGAUCAGAAGGCUUUAAUUGGGGGCCUCCUACUCUCUAUUGACUCAGGCUGAAAUUGGACUAGUGGAAGACACCAUAACGAUCACCUCUAAAGCAAGCAACCAUUUGCACUCAAUUUCCAAGGGCUAACUUCAUGACCACUAUAAUUCCUCAAUCUAAAGGGAUUAGCCACUUAUUGCUCCUAAAAUUUUUGGGCGGUACUUUGAACUUUUGAUGCUAAAGGAGUUCGAUCUCCAAAGUGUUGUCCGACAUUUUAUUGCAUUGAAGUUAUCCUAUUCUCUUAUUCGAAUGGUUGUAACAUA